rnacentral:sRNA from 1 species
UUUAUAAAACUGGGUUACAUGGUCACCCACGGGGCAGCCGUGGGCUGGAGCUGAGCCACAGCUGCCCCCUUCAGUGGGGACCUGCCUGCCCUUUGCCCCAGUCCCCUCUGCUGAGGUCAAGGCGCCCUUUAGCUCCUCAUGGUGUGGCCUAGAAAUGUCCCCUGUCCUCCAGUCUCUGUAGAGGGGCCCUGUUGGGUCUCUCCAGACAUCUGAGGCCUGCGGGUACCCUGGCCUCCUGCCCGGGCCAAAUGGUGCCCCUGCCCCACGUGCUGCAGAUGUGAAGUUCGACGCCGUGAGCGGUGACUACUAUCCCAUCAUCUACUUCAAUGACUACUGGAACCUGCAGAAGGACUACUACCCCAUCAACGAGAGCCUGGCCAGCCUGCCGCUCCGCGUCUCCUUCUGCCCGCUCUCGCUUUGGCGCUGGCAGCUCUAUGCUGCCCAGAGCACCAAGUCGCCCUGGAACUUCCUGGGCGAUGAGUUGUACGAGCAGUCAGAUGAGGAGCAGGACUCGGUGAAGGUGGCCCUGCUGGAGACCAACCCCUACCUGCUGGCGCUCACCAUCAUCGUGUCUAUCGUUCACAGUGUCUUCGAGUUCCUGGCCUUCAAGAAUGAUAUCCAGUUCUGGAACAGCCGGCAGUCCCUGGAGGGCCUGUCCGUGCGCUCCGUCUUCUUUGGCGUUUUCCAGUCAUUCGUGGUCCUCCUCUACAUCCUGGACAACGAGACCAACUUCGUGGUCCAGGUCAGCGUCUUCAUUGGGGUCCUCAUCGACCUCUGGAAGAUCACCAAGGUCAUGGACGUCCGG